CUAUACAUGCAGUCGAGCGAAUGGAUUAAGAGCUUGCUCUUAUGAAGUUAGCGGCGGACGGGUGAGUAACACGUGGGUAACCUGCCCAUAAGACUGGGAUAACUCCGGGAAACCGGGGCUAAUACCGGAUAACAUUUUGCACCGCAUGGUGCGAAAUUCAAAGGCGGCUUCGGCUGUCACUUAUGGAUGGACCCGCGUCGCAUUAGCUAGUUGGUGAGGUAACGGCUCACCAAGGCAACGAUGCGUAGCCGACCUGAGAGGGUGAUCGGCCACACUGGGACUGAGACACGGCCCAGACUCCUACGGGAGGCAGCAGUAGGGAAUCUUCCGCAAUGGACGAAAGUCUGACGGAGCAACGCCGCGUGAGUGAUGAAGGCUUUCGGGUCGUAAAACUCUGUUGUUAGGGAAGAACAAGUGCUAGUUGAAUAAGCUGGCACCUUGACGGUACCUAACCAGAAAGCCACGGCUAACUACGUGCCAGCAGCCGCGGUAAUACGUAGGUGGCAAGCGUUAUCCGGAAUUAUUGGGCGUAAAGCGCGCGCAGGUGGUUUCUUAAGUCUGAUGUGAAAGCCCACGGCUCAACCGUGGAGGGUCAUUGGAAACUGGGAGACUUGAGUGCAGAAGAGGAAAGUGGAAUUCCAUGUGUAGCGGUGAAAUGCGUAGAGAUAUGGAGGAACACCAG
rnacentral:rRNA from 1 species